rnacentral:rRNA from 1 species
UACAGAGGGUGCGAGCGUUAAUCGGAAUUACUGGGCGUAAAGCGCGCGUAGGCGGCUUUGCAAGUCGGGUGUGAAAUCCCCAGGCUUAACCUGGGAACUGCAUUCGAGACUGCAUUGCUAGAGUAUGGGAGAGGGAAGUGGAAUUUCCGGUGUAGCGGUGAAAUGCGUAGAGAUCGGGAAGAACAUCGGUGGCGAAAGCGCUCUACUGGACGGUAUCUGACACUGAGGGACGAAAGCUAGGGGAGCGAAUGGG